rnacentral:rRNA from 1 species
UACGUAGGGUGCAAGCGUUGUCCGGAAUUAUUGGGCGUAAAGAGCUCGUAGGCGGCUUGUCGCGUCGACUGUGAAAACCCGCAGCUCAACUGCGGGCCUGCAGUCGAUACGGGCAGGCUAGAGUUCGGUAGGGGAGACUGGAAUUCCUGGUGUAGCGGUGAAAUGCGCAGAUAUCAGGAAGAACACCUAUGGCGAAGGCAGCUCUCUGGGACGGUACUGACGCUGAGACGCGAAAGCGUGGGGAGCGAACAGG